rnacentral:pre_miRNA from 1 species
AAAAAGACAAACCCUAGGUUUCCGUGUCCAACUUUGACUGUCCGUCUUAUAUGAAUUUUUUUUAUAAUUCGUAUUUUCAUUGUUGUUAGAUGAUAAAACAUGAUUAAUAUUUUAUGCGUGACUUGUCUUUUUAAUUUUUUUCAUAAUUUUUUCAAAUAAAACGGAGGGUCAAACGUUAAACACAGAAACC